AAAUUACAGUAAUUUAGGGUAAUGGCGAUAAAAUAGCAGAAUGGGAGACAAAGGUUUGGCUGUUUUCUAAAACUCUCAAGACUGAGAAAACACAAAAGUCAGAAUGACAGAUGAGGAAAACGCACAAUGGAGAGACGAAAUGAAAGAAUGGAAGUGCACAGGGUUGUCAUGGAGGUUUUCAAACACCAUCUAACGCAAGUUCUGUUUCCUGACCUGGACUGUUUCAGAUCUGGAUACUUUGAACUGACGGCAAACACAGCAUCAACAUAAAUGACAGAAAGAGGAAGAAAAUAGAGGAAGAAAUGGAGAAGAAGCUGCAGUCGGCCUGCUCUGCUUUUUUAUGCAGAGCUUAUCAGACAGACCCUGAAGUAUUGACGCCUAAACCCCAGUCUACAUUCAGUUGUGCUUCUCAGCAGGGUCGCAGGUGAGGGAGCAGCCAAUCCAAGUCAUUGGAUGAGAGCAACAGCACACCCAGUGGUGGAUUAAGCGUCGAUCCAACAUUUCCCUGGGACAGUGAAGCCCGGUUUGUGCUUCACAUGACCUUCAGUGAAGAGUGAAGCUCAAGGCUUCCAGUAGCAUGAUGUCAUCUCUGAAUAAAACAUGCCAAAGUGGAGCAAGAGUUCUCUGUUGGAGAAAUGAUCUCAUCGUUUUUACAGGAAAAAAAAGAAAGAAAAAAAAUCAUCUCUGUGCAAAAAAGAUUUAAAGCCUUCUGUCAGUGCAUCACAUCACAUCAGAUCUAAAAUUGUACCGUGGCUUCAUUUGAAUGGCAGUGCAUUGGAAAACACUCAUUCAAAUCACAGUGAGCCAUACAGAGAUGUUCCUUCAUCGGAUAUUCAAGAUGUACAGCAGCUGACUCACUGAUUAGGUCAGAUUAUUUUAGUGCGCAUCAGUCUUUUAACUCAAUCACUCGAAUAAAAAAAUAAAUCUCCGGAAAUUUUAGGAAGUGGUGUUCAAUGCAAGAGCACGAACACACAGUCGUAAUAAAUGUUGUUUAUGCUCUAUGAAAAAAUAUUUCACCCUUUUUUAUUGUAUUAUCUGGUACUUU